rnacentral:rRNA from 1 species
GGCGUAAGGGCUCGCAGGCGGUUUCUUAAGUCUGAUGUGAAAGCCCCCGGCUCAACCGGGGAGGGUCAUUGGAAACUGGGAAACUUGAGUGCAGACGAGGAGAGUGGAAUUCCACGUGUAGCGGUGAAAUGCGUAGAGAUGUGGAGGAACACCAGUGGCGAAGGCGACUCUCUGGUCUGUAACUGACGCUGAGGAGCGAAAGCGUGGGGAGCGAACAGGAUUAGAUACCCUGGUAGUCCACGCCGUAAACGAUGAGUGCUAAGUGUUAGGGGGUUUCCGCCCCUUAGUGCUGCAGCUAACGCAUUAAGCACUCCGCCUGGGGAGUACGGUCGCAAGACUGAAACUCAAAGGAAUUGACGGGGGCCCGCACAAGCGGUGGAGCAUGUGGUUUAAUUCGAAGCAACGCGUAGAACCUUACCAGGUCUUGACAUCCUCUGACAGCGCUAGAGAUAGGGCUUUCCCUUCGGGGACAGAGUGACAGGUGGUGCAUGGUUGUCCUCAGCUCGUGUCGUGAGAU